GACGAACGCUGGCGGCGUGCUUAACACAUGCAAGUCGAACGGAAAGGCCCUGCUUUUGUGGGGUGCUCGAGUGGCGAACGGGUGAGUAACACGUGAGUAACCUGCCCUUGACUUUGGGAUAACUUCAGGAAACUGGGGCUAAUACCGGAUAGGAGCUCCUGCGGCAUGGUGGGGGUUGGAAAGUUUCGGCGGUUGGGGAUGGACUCGCGGCUUAUCAGCUUGUUGGUGGGGUAGUGGCUUACCAAGGCUUUGACGGGUAGCCGGCCUGAGAGGGUGACCGGCCACAUUGGGACUGAGAUACGGCCCAGACUCCUACGGGAGGCAGCAGUGGGGAAUAUUGCACAAUGGGCGGAAGCCUGAUGCAGCAACGCCGCGUGCGGGAUGACGGCCUUCGGGUUGUAAACCGCUUUCGCCUGUGACGAAGCGUGAGUGACGGUAAUGGGUAAAGAGGCACCGGCUAACUACGUG
rnacentral:rRNA from 1 species